GCAGGAGCCACUCUCUGCUGCCAGUCAGGAGCUUUCACUCAGCCAGUCACCCUUAACCACAUACUUAAAUCCAGACCAGAUUUGUUGCUCCAGUUCCCUGUACUGGUGUAGCUCAGUAAAUAAUGAAGCAUGAUGCUGGUCAAACUUUCAAGCAGGUUUAACAUUUAAGCAAAUUGUCAGUGGACUGGAAAGAAAGAGGGAAGGCAACUUGACAACAUCCUGCUGACCCAAAACUGGAGAAGUCUGUUCUACCUUUCAAAGCUCUUGAGACACUUUUUGACUGCUGUUUCUGCUCAAAUAUAAAAUCAAUCCUAGGAGACUACCAAGAUUGGUUUCUGGCUGUGUGCAAAGGAGAAGUUAUUUCAAUGACAGAAUGGAGUGUCCACACAGGUCACUGCGAAAGGCUGGGGAACGUGUGGUUUUGAGGGCUUUUGAGACCCAUCUGGGCAAACCUUCUCCAACAUUGUCUGCUCUCAUAGUUUGCCAUUCUCUGUGAUGGAGGUCAGACCAGAGACCUCCUGGGAUCCCUCCCCACCUUUAUGACUGUGCUGAUCCUAUGGAUUCACCUUCCCUUGAGGUUACCGGCCUUGGAGGUGAUUUCUAACUGGAAAAGAAGCCCAUUUGCAAGAGGAUGCUUGAUGGGUCAGUGGGUACCACGAGGGCCCUGUCUGGGGAUUGCUUCAUACGUGGAAUAUGCCAUACUCUUUUUCCUGUUACUUUAUUCCCUUUCCUGUGGGUUGAGUAAAAAAAACCCUGAAGGAAAUUAUACCAUUCUAACCAAAAAGUAACAUAUUAAGACAAUUUGCAUUUUUAUUAAAAAAAGACAUAUUUUAUCUUUAAAAUAUAACCAGUGAUAGACACAAAAGGAUAAUCUCUAGGAUAAUGACACACUUCAGUACACUAGGCAAUUAGGUUUGCCUUUAAUUAUUUAUAGUUUGACAUGCUGCUCAUACAAAUACUCUGUGUAACAGGAGGAAGUCAGUUUGACCUUAAUUAUUGCCUGUAAAUAAUUCCUGAAUUGUAACUAAGUAGUGCCUUUUAAAAUGUAAUUAUUAUAAUACCGAAGUUACAGACCUCAUUGAUUUAUAAUUACUUAAUUGUUUCUACCCAUUAAACCACAGUUGUGAUAGGUUCAUCUUUCCUACAUGCCCUAGCCUGGAAACUGAGGAGUUAUGGCCAAGAACUCGGACUAAUGUUAUCUCCCACAGUUAAAUGGCUGAACAAUCAUUCCAGUCUGGACAAGGUUAGCGGGGGGUCAAGAGAUAGCCGAGAGAUAGUGGGCAAUGAGCUGGGCAUUUCAGUACAUAUCCUUCAGAAUAACAAUGAGGGGAGAAAGAAAUACAAAACAUCCAUACCUCUAGGGUCUUGAGCUCUCUCCAGGUAAAUCAGACAAAAAGCUACUUCUUUGUGACUCUGAUUGUACACUUUCCGGGUCAUAAUGUAUAGUGAGCUAUUGGGCAUAGUGCUAACUGUGCUGCUGGGAAACAGAAAACCCAAAAAUGAUGUGAUUUUUUUUUUCUCUACAUAUCAACACAGGUUAUCUAGCUGUUCACACAUUUGUAUGGAAGGGAGACUGUCAUUUUGCUUCUUGUGACCUGCACUUUAACACUGUAAAAGCAUUUCACAGGGAGAGCUCAACCCCCAGUGUUGUGACUCAACGCCAGCCAGCCACAGCCAGCCACUAAACCCCACACAGCUGCUCGAGUCCCUGUGUUAUCAACAGUGUUUCCAGAACAAAUCCAGACAUAGCCCCAUGUUGGCUGCUAUGAAGACAAUUAACUCUAUCCCAGCCAAACCCAGCACACACACAUGAUGCUCCUGUCUAAUACAUUCGGUUCUUUGUGUGCCACUGUCUGGUGAUCACCAUCCAAGCCACUGCUGUAUUACAUGUGUUUCUCUGAGAGGGAAAAAAAAAAGAAGGAUAUUGAUAAUGAAGCCUUUCAAAGUAGUCAGCAUGACACACACUUAAAUUGUAAACCUCAUCCGGCAGAGGAGCGGAAAUGUCAGCACGUUUCUCAGAUGUCAAUGCUGAGAAAGUAAAGAUCCACAUUCUACUGAAAAGACCUACUGUGAUUUGCUCUAAAUGAGGUGGCACUUAGAAAUAAUCUGUGUAAAUUUUAAAAGCAUUAAAAUUUUGAUUUAGUUCAAGUAAGCCUUGGUUCAAAUCUUUUGCUGUCUUACAGUGCAGUAAAAUCCAGCAGCUAAGAAGUGUAUGAAUUCUGUGUGCUACAGAAAUAGACCCUAGGAGUGUUAGAACUGUGAUCUGAACAACUUAAAUAAUCAUUCACAAAGCAGG